rnacentral:misc_RNA from 1 species
GAUGAAGAACGUAGUGAAAUGCGAUAAGUAGUGUGAAUUGCAGAAUUCCGUGAAUCAUCGAAUCUUUGAACGCACAUUGCGCCCGCUAGUAUUCUGGCGGGCAUGCCUGUCCGAGCGUCAUUUCAACCCUCAAGCCCCCGGGCUUGGUGUUGGGGAUCGGCGAGCCUCCGCGCCCGCCGUCCCCUAAAUCUAGUGGCGGUCUCGCUGUAGCUUCCUCUGCGUAGUAGCACACCUCGCACUGGGAAACAGCGCGGCCACGCCGUUAAACCCCCAACUUCUGAACGUUUGACCUCGGAUCAGGUAGGAAUACCCGCUGAACUUAAGCAUAUCAAUAAGCGGAGGA